rnacentral:rRNA from 1 species
GGCUUAUUGAUAAUAUUAAGUCGAUCUGCCCAAUGAUUAAUGGCUGCAGUAUAUUAACUGUACAAAGGUAGCAUAAUCAAUUGUUUUUUAAAUGGAAACUUGGAUGAAAGAAUUAAUGAGAUAUAUACUGUCUCAUAUAUAUUUAAUUAAAUUAAAUAUUUAGUAAAAAUGCUGAAAUUAUUUUAUGGGACGAUAAGACCCUAUAGAAUUUUAUAUUUGGGAGGAUUGGUAAAUUAAUUUAACUUUAUUAUGUAAACUUUGAUUUAAGAAUGAUCUUUUAUUAAAAAAAAAAGAAAAAAUUACCUUAGGGAUAACAGCGUAAUAUCUUUUUAAAGAUCAAAUUGAUAAAGAUGAUUGCGACCUCGAUGUUGAAUUAAGAUAAAUUUUAAAUGGAGAAAUUUAAUGAUUAAGUCUGUUCGACUUUUAAAAUCUUACAUGAUUUGAGUUCAAAUCGACGUGAGU